rnacentral:rRNA from 1 species
GACGAACGCUGGCGGCGUGCUUAACACAUGCAAGUCGAACGAAGAGCGAUGGAAGCUUGCUUCUAUCAAUCUUAGUGGCGAACGGGUGAGUAACGCGUAAUCAACCUGCCCUUCAGAGGGGGACAACAGUUGGAAACGACUGCUAAUACCGCAUACGAUCUAACCUCGGCAUCGAGGAUAGAUGAAAGGUGGCCUCUACAUGUAAGCUAUCACUGAAGGUGGGGAUUGCGUCUGAUUAGCUAGUUGGAGGGGUAACGGCCCACCAAGGCGAUGAUCAGUAGCCGGUCUGAGAGGAUGAACGGCCACAUUGGGACUGAGACACGGCCCAGACUCCUACGGGAGGCAGCAGUGGGGAAUCUUCCGCAAUGGACGAAAGUCUGACGGAGCCACGCCGCGUGAGUGAUGACGGCCUUCGGGUUGUAAAGCUCUGUUAAUCGGGACGAAAGGCCUUCUUGCGAAUAGUUAGAAGGAUUGACGGUACCGGAAUAGAAAGCCACGGCUAACUACGUG